AUUGAACGCUGGCGGCAUGCCUUACACAUGCAAGUCGAACGGCAGCACGGGUGCUUGCACCUGGUGGCGAGUGGCGAACGGGUGAGUAAUACAUCGGAACAUGUCCUGUAGUGGGGGAUAGCCCGGCGAAAGCCGGAUUAAUACCGCAUACGAUCUACGGAUGACAGCGGGGGACCUUCGGGCCUCGCGCUAUAGGGUUGGCCGAUGGCUGAUUAGCUAGUUGGUGGGGUAAAGGCCUACCAAGGCGACGAUCAGUAGCUGGUCUGAGAGGACGACCAGCCACACUGGGACUGAGACACGGCCCAGACUCCUACGGGAGGCAGCAGUGGGGAAUUUUGGACAAUGGGCGAAAGCCUGAUCCAACAAUGCCGCGUGUGUGAAGAAGGCCUUCGGGUUGUAAAGCACUUUUGUCCGGAAAGAAAUCCUUGGCCCUAAUACGGUCGGGGGAUGACGGUACCGGAAGAAUAAGCACCGGCUAACUACGUG
rnacentral:rRNA from 1 species